rnacentral:rRNA from 1 species
GUCUACGGCCAUACCACCCUGAACGCGCCCGAUCUCGUCUGAUCUCGGAAGCUAAGCAGGGUCGGGCCUGGUUAGUACUUGGAUGGGAAAUAGCAGUGCGGUUUUUGUGUGCAUGUAGGUGUGUGGAAA